AGACGCUUCCGGUGCAGGAGCUGGUUCUCUCGGCGGGCGAGGGCCUGGCCGCUUUAGCAGUGUUGGCGUUGGGUGGGAGGCAGCUCCGGGACCACGUGAGCCACUGGCAUCGUGCCCGCCGCGGCUGUAGGCAGCGACACGUCUUUUCUGGAGGUUUCUCAGCCAAAGGGAAGGGCGCAAACCACAUUUCCGAAAGGUAAUCUACCGCGGCCGGUGGGCUCGGCGCUCCGCUCCCGCAGCUCCUGGUCCUGCGGUCGCCGCCUCACUCGCCGCCGCGCGUGCUUGCGGCGUCUGCGCCUUCCUCGGAGGCAUUGGCCCCCUCACUCCUUCCCCCAUGGUGUCUGUGGUGUUCCUUGGUUUCUCCCCAUCUUUUUAAAAGCGAGCCUCUGGCCAUUGCUCCUUGGAUGGAAUUCGGAGGAACUGCUUUAAGAUGGGAAUGGCAGUGCUGCAGACGGCCCUUAAGUAGAUGGAGCCUCCACAUUUCCUCAGGUUAUUUUGACACAGGAAAUGUGAGUAAUGAAAACUAAGUUUGUGUGAAAUAACCCAACAGUGCCGCCUCCAGAUCUGACAGCGAAAGUCGGUUUCGCUUAUUUCCGGGACUCGCAAAGGGCGCUCAGCUAUUUCCUGAGAAUUCUCUUCUAAGAGCUUUGAGAGUUUGCUCAGAUGUGCGGUGAAUUUCUUUUACUCCCGAGACCUUCCUCUCCAUCUCAUACCUCAUUAGCCAGUGAGGUGUUUCCUGAGGAGUUCAUCGAACAUCUGCGUUGGAGUUGCCAGUUCACUUCCUGAGGAGUUCAUCGAACACCUUCAUUGGACUUGCCAGUUUGCUGCCUGCCCUAUGGAAUUUGCACUCGUGCAUAGCCACAGUUGGACAGAAGGAGCACGUUUGCUACAGCCAAGAGGGACACUUUGAAGAAUCUACAGGAGC